rnacentral:rRNA from 1 species
UACGUAGGGCGCAAGCGUUAUCCGGAAUUAUUGGGCGUAAAGAGCUCGUAGCGUUGUUCGCGCGUGCCGUGAAAGUCCGGGGCUCAACUCCGGAUCUGCGGUGGGUACGGGCAGACUAGAGUGAUGUAGGGGAGACUGGAAUUCCUGGUGUAGCGGUGAAAUGCGCAGAUAUCAGGAAGAACACCCGGUGGCGAAGGCGGCUCUCUGGGACGGUACUGACGCUGAGGAGCGAAAGCGUGGGGAGCGAACAGG